rnacentral:rRNA from 1 species
AAAUUGAAGAGUUUGAUCAUGGCUCAGAUUGAACGCUGGCGGCAGGCCUAACACAUGCAAGUCGAACGGUAGCACAGAGAGCUUGCUCUCGGGUGACGAGUGGCGGACGGGUGAGUAAUGUCUGGGAAACUGCCUGAUGGAGGGGGAUAACUACUGGAAACGGUAGCUAAUACCGCAUAACGUCGCAAGACCAAAGAGGGGGACCUUCGGGCCUCUUGCCAUCAGAUGUGCCCAGAUGGGAUUAGCUUGUUGGUGAGGUAACGGCUCACCAAGGCGACGAUCCCUAGCUG